rnacentral:rRNA from 1 species
UACGGAGGGGACUAGCGUUGUUCGGAAUUACUGGGCGUAAAGCGCACGUAGGCGGAUUUGUAAGUCAGGGGUGAAAUCCCGGGGCUCAACCUCGGAACUGCCUUUGAUACUGCAAAUCUCGAGUCCGGAGGAGGUGAGUGGAAUUCCUAGUGUAGAGGUGAAAAUUCGUAGAUAUUAGGAAGAACACCAGUGGCGAAGGCGGCUCACUGGUCCGGUACUGACGCUGAGGUGCGAAAAGCGUGGGGGAGCAAACAGG